CACGUAGGGCGCGAGCGUUGUCCGGAAUUAUUGGGCGUAAAGAGCUCGUAGGCGGCCUGUUGCGUCCGCUGUGAAAGCCCGGGGCUUAACCCCGGGUCGGCAGUGGAUACGGGCAGGCUAGAGGUAGGUAGGGGAGAAUGGAAUUCCCGGUGUAGCGGUGAAAUGCGCAGAUAUCGGGAGGAACACCGGUGGCGAAGGCGGUUCUCUGGGCCUUACCUGACGCUGAGGAGCGAAGGCCAGGGGAGCAAACGGG
rnacentral:rRNA from 1 species